CUCCACCUUUUCAGUUUUCUGCUUCCCGUGUAAAAGCCUCUCCAAAAUACCACUAAAAUUUAGAUGCAAUCUUCGAACUGCACGUCGAUCUCCAGCGACUGCGAUGUGAUGCACUGUUCAUCGUCAGUUCGCCUCCGGCGAGCCGCGGGCGACGUGAUGCCCAUGGCACGAUGAUAUCAAAUCCAACACCAAGACAUGCCCUUCUCCUUUCAUUUGUUUUGUUGUGAAGUUCUGCCGACAUAGGUGAUACACUCUAAAAACAAGUGCAGACUCCCUGUGUAGAUAGCAGUGAGAAGUGUAGCAUCAUUUGGGUGGGCUCCACACACAUAACAACAUGCAACAUGCACGGCAUGGCGCUGAUGCACAUGGGACAAGCGACGCGACGUGCGUACAUGAGCAAAGAAAGGAACGGCCCGGACAACUUUUUAUCUCACCACUUCAA